rnacentral:lncRNA from 1 species
CUGAGAAGCAGAGAAACGCCGCAGAAGAGCUGGAGAACCAUCCUGCUGACAGACACAAGAUGAAAUGAAGACAUGAGCGUCUUGCUGCGGAUGUAGUCUGGAAAGUUACCGUUGCAAAACAGAGACAUUGUAUUUCUCGGGCUGGAUCAGGCUGAUGUUGAAGAUUUGAAGUCCGUCGUGUCGACUCUGAGCGAACACAGCAGACUGGAGAACAUGCUCUCUCUGAAUCACGUCUGAAAGCCAAUCAUCACGUAUUUAAUGACUGCAUGAACAAGCCGUGACACUUGAGUUAUCAUGCACUAACCAGUGUCAUCCAAACCUCCUC